GGAUAUGAGGGUGAUCUGGCUGCAGCAUCUGUCUCCCCUUUGAUUGCCAGUGUUGAUUUGGCUGAUCUGGCUGGCUAGGCAGCUAUGUCCUUCCUCUGUCACUGCUCCAUGUGCGUCCCUCUCGAAGCUGCAUGCUCAGUCAUGGAGGAUGACCAUCCCCGAUAGAGGAAGACAGGACAAGGGUAUAUGAGUAGGAGUAGCUGCGCUCCCCUGCUAGAACCUCCAAACAAGCUUUCGUGUGCUUAUUGGCCAUUCGUAUAUCUUCUUGGGAGGAAUGUCUGUUCAAGACUUUGACCAUUCUU
rnacentral:snRNA from 10 species